CAGCACCUCAAGUGGUCAGGAUGAUUAUUGGGCCUAAAGCAUCCGUAGCCGGCUCUGUAAGUUUUCGGUUAAAUCUGUAUGCUCAACAUACAGGCUGCCGGGAAUACUGCAGAGCUAGGGAGUGGGAGAGGUAGACGGUACUCGGUAGGAGGGGGUAAAAUCCUUUGAUCUAUUGAUGACCACCUGUGGCGAAGGCGGUCUACCAGAACACGUCCGACGGUGAGGGAUGAAAGCUGGGGGAGCAAACCGGAUUAGAUACCCGAGUAGUCC
rnacentral:rRNA from 1 species